GACGAACGCUGGCGGCGUGCUUAACACAUGCAAGUCGAACGGAAAGGCCCUGCUUUUGUUGGGUGCUCGAGUGGCGAACGGGGGAGUAACACGUGAGUAACCUGCCCUUGACUUUGGGAUAACUUCAGGAAACUGGGGCUCAUACCGGAUAGGAGCUCCUGCUGCAUGGUGGGGGUUGGAAAGUGUCGGCGGUUGGGGAUGGACUCGCGGCUUAUCAGCUUGUUGGUGGGGUAGUGGCUUACCAAGGCUUUGACGGGUAGCCGGCCUGAGAGGGUGACCGGCGACAAUGGGACUGAGAUACGGCCCAGACUCCUACGGGAGGCAGCAGUGGGGAAUAUUGCACAAUGGGCGGAAGCCUGAUGCAGCAACGCCGCGUGCGGGAUGACGGCCUUCGGGUUGAAAACAGCUGUGGCCUGUGACGAAGAGUGAGUGACGGUAAUGGGUAAAGAAGCACCGGCUAACUACGUG
rnacentral:rRNA from 1 species